AACCAGCACCUCAAGUGGUCAGGAUGAUUAUUGGGCCUAAAGCAUCCGUAGCCGGCCUUGUAAGUUUUCGGUUAAAUCCAUUCGCUUAACGAAUGGGCUGCCGGGAAUACUGCAAGGCUAGGGAGUGGGAGAGGUAGACGGUACUCGGUAGGAAGGGGUAAAAUCCUUUGAUCUAUUGAUGACCACCUGUGGCGAAGGCGGUCUACCAGAACAUGUCCGACGGUGAGGGAUGAAAGCUGGGGGAGCAAACCGGAUUAGAUACCCGGGUAGUCCCAGCUGUAAACUAUGCAAACUCAGUGAUGCAUUGGCUUGAUGCCAAUGCAGUGCUGCAGGGAAGCCGUUAAGUUUGCCGCCUGGGAAGUACGUACGCAAGUAUGAAACUUAAAGGAAUUGGCGGGGGAGCACCACAAGGGGUGGAGCCUGCGGUUCAAUUGGAGUCAACGCCAGAAAUCUUACCCGGAGAGACAGCAGAAUGAAGGUCAAGCUGAAGACUUUACCAGACAAGCUGAGAGGUGGUGCAUGGCCGUCGCCAGCUCGCGCCGUGAGAUGUCCUGUUAAGUCAGGUAACGAGCGAGAUCCCUGCCUCUAGUUGCCACCACUGCUCUCAGGAGUAGUGGGGAGAAUUAGCGGGACCGCCGUAGUUAAUACGGAGGAAGGAAGGGGCCACGGCAGGUCAGUAUGCCCCGAAACUCUGGGGCCACACGCGGGCUGCAAUGGUAAUGACAAUGUGUUCCAAAUCCGAAAGGAGGAGGUAAUCCUCAAACGUUACCACAGUUAUGACUGAGGGCUGCAACUCGCCCUCACGAAUAUGGAAUCCCUGGUAACUGCGUGUCACUAUCGCGCGGUGAAUACGUCCCUGCUCCU
rnacentral:rRNA from 1 species